UGCAGAGUGGCCAUAUGGAUUUGAUCCCUAUCCUUCAGAGGUGCUCAGCCUAAGGGAACAUGGGUAGAAGAUUAAGCACUGACCAGAUAUAUAGAAGCACUUAGGGACUUUGUUCUACUAUUCUGCACUAAAGGAACUUUCAGAGCUUUCCAGUGCUUCAAGUUGGGGUCCGGCUCAAGUUCGUACAUUCCAACUUGUUGUUUGGGCCUUGUUGGACAUAACCAAAGUCUGGAUGGCAGGGUGAAAAUUGGAUAAACAGCCACACUGACUCAGGGGAGAAUUUUUUUAAUGCAAACAUCUGUUUCUUGAAUUUGGCCAUGGUAAGACCUAAGGGAAGGGGGAAUACCAGUUGAUGAAAUAAGAUCAAGAAGAUACUGCCUCAUUUAUUCUUCUGUUUCAGGGGUAUAAAUCCUGCCUUCUCUCAGCCUUACAGAGGAAGAAAACCCUUUCCAAGUUUCCUCUGAUACUGGGUUUAUGCCCAAUUCUAGUUUAGGCAUGAAGAAACUGAAGCAUGGAGGAAAAACUAAACAACUAGCCCAAUGUCACACAGGCAAGCCAGCCUUGACAAUGUGCUGAUGGCAACCUAGAACAUAAGCAGAGGAGUAUACAGGAUGAGAACUUGAUGGUCUCAGGAA
rnacentral:antisense_RNA from 1 species